rnacentral:tRNA from 1 species
AUUCUCAUUAGCUCAAUGGUAGAGCCGGAUACUUCUAAUAUCCUGAUUUUAGUUCGAGUCUGAAAUGAGAAG